UUUCGCCAGAAUACAUUAGCAUGGAAUAAUACUAUAGGAUCUUGGUUCUAUUUUGUUGGUUUCUAGAAUUGAGAUAAUGAUUAAUAGGGACAAUUGGGGGCAUUCGUAUCAACACGUCAGAGGUGGAAUUCUUGGAUUGUGUUGCGACGAACUACUGCGAAAGCAUUUGCCAAGGAUGUUUUCAUUGAUCAAGAACGAAAGUAAGGGGAUCGAAGACGAUUGGAUACCGUCGUAGUCUUUACCAUAAACUAUGCCGACUAGAGAUGGGGCAUCGUUCAUUUACGACUUGCUCCGCACCUUAUGAGAUAUCAAAGUUUUUGGGUUCCGGGGGGAGUAUGGUCGCAAGACUGAAACUUAAAGGAAUUGACGGAAGGGCACCACCAGGAGUGGAGCCUGCGGCUUAAUUUGACUCAACACGGGGAAACUCACCAGGUCCAGACAUAAUAAGGAUUGACAGAUUGAUAGCUCUUUCUUGAUUUUAUGAGUGGUGGUGCAUGGCCGUUCUUAGUUCGUGGAGUGAUUUGUCUGCUUAAUUGCGUUAACGAACGAGACCUUAACCUGCUAAAUAGGAGCGCCUAUCUUCGGAUAAGCGUCUUUCUUCUUAGAGGGACUUUAUGCGUUUCAGCAUGAGGAAGUUUGAGGCUAAAACAGGUCUGUGAUGCCCUUCGAUGUUCUGGGCUGCACGCGCGCUACACUGAUGCGUUCAACGAGUGUACAACCUUGCCCGAUAGGGUUGGGUAACCUUUUGAACACGCAUCGUGAUGGGGAUAGAUUAUUGCAAUUAUUAAUCUUCAACGAGGAAUUCCUAGUAAUGGCGAAUCAUCAGUUCGUCGUGAUUACGUCCCUGCCCUUUGUACACACCGCCCGUCGCUCCUACCGAUUGAGCAAUCCGGUGAAUAUUUCGGACCGAAUAGCUGCGGGGCAACCCAUAGCCGUUUGGAAAGUCAAGUAAACCUUGUUGCUUAGAGGAAGGAGAAGUCGUAACAAGGUUUCCGUAG
rnacentral:rRNA from 1 species